rnacentral:tRNA from 1 species
GCCCGGUUAGCUCAACUGGUAGAGCACCUGAUUUGUAAUCAGGGGGUUGGGGGUUCGAGUCCCUCACCGGGCACCA